GAUGAACGCUGGCGGCGUGCCUAACACAUGCAAGUCAAGGAGAAGGUAACCUUCGGGGAACCGGAUACUGGCGCACGGGUGAGUAACACGUGGAUUAUCUACCCUUUACACAGACAUAACUCAGGGAAACUUGAGCUAAUAUCUGAUGAGGCCUCCGGGUCAAAGCUUCGGCGGUAAAGGAUGAGUCUGCGUCUGAUUAGCUAGUUGGUAAGGUAAUGGCUUACCAAGGCGACGAUCAGUAACUGGUCUGAGAGGACGAUCAGUCACACUGGAACUGAGACACGGUCCAGACUCCUACGGGAGGCAGCAGUGAGGAAUUUUGGACAAUGGGGGAAACCCUGAUCCAGCGACGCCGCGUGUGGGAUGAAUGGGUUAUGCCCUGUAAACCACUGUCAGCAGAGAAGAAAAGGUUCCUUUGGAACCCGGGACUGUAUCUGCAGAGGAAGGACCGGCUAACUACGUGCCAGCAGCCGCGGUAAAGUCG
rnacentral:rRNA from 1 species